rnacentral:rRNA from 1 species
UGGGGAAUUUUGCACAAUGGGGGGAACCUUGAUGCAGCGACGCCGCGUGAGGGAUGGAGGCCUUCGGGUUGUGAACCUCUUUCGCUCGUGUGCAAGCCGCUAUUUGGGUAGUGGUGAGUGUAGCGGGUAAAGAAGCGCCGGCUAACUACGUGCCAGCAGCCGCGGUAAUACGUAGGGCGCGAGCGUUGUCCGGAUUUAUUGGGCGUAAAGGGCUUGUAGGCGGUUUGUCGCGCCUGUCGUGUAAUCCGCUGGCUUAACUGGGGGUGUGCGGUGGGUACGGGCAGGCUGGAGUGCGGGAGGGGAGAUUGGAAUUCCUGGUGUAGCGGUGGGAUGCGCAGAUAUCAGGAGGAACACCGGUGGCGAAGGCGGGUCUCUGGGCCGUUACUGACGCUGAGGGGCGAAAGCGUGGGGAGCGAAAAGG